UCUCAUCAGCCGCACAACACUAAAACCCCUCUUCUUCCUCUCACGAAAUCAGUCACCGGAGUCACGAUUCCGACACCGUUUUCCGGCCACUCCGGCCGCACCUGAAAUCCCCAUCUGAAUCUCCAUAGAACCCCUCCCCUUUCCUCCUUUGUCCUUAUAACGCACACCUCCUUGACUUUAGAAGAGAAUCACUGUGAAGAGAGCAGAUGAGGGAGAGAAGACGACAGGUCAAAUGUUCGGGUCCGAUGUGUUACAGGAGAAGCUCCGGCUCAGACCAGUAGCAGUGGCAGCCGUAUAUUUUCCUUCGCCACCCCAUAUCUCGUUUAUACGAUAAUGUAGUCUCAUUUAAUCUUGCAAUACAGGUAAUUUUCAUCACCUCCAAUCCUUGACAUUUCGUUUUCAGUAUUUCUGGGUUUUACAAAUGGGUCGGUUGAUUGAUGUUAUGUUUUAUUUCUUUCUUUAGUCCUUGGGUUUUACAAAUGGAUUGAUUGAUUAGUUAUUUUGGGAUUUAAGGAAGGGAGCAAUUAGGUUAAUAUGGACUCUCAGGCGAACCCCCAAUUAGGUUGAUACGACUUUCAAUGGAUUGUAUACUAGUUGUGUGAUUACAAUAUCAAUUAACUUACAUUACUUUCUGAUAUGUGUAGUAUUUUGGUUAUGUUGUAUUUGUAUUUGUAUUCACUAUUCAGUUUGAAUCAGUUUUAAGAUGACCCAAUAUUUUACCCUCAGUUAUUGGAGCGUUUGUUAUUGUUGAAAUGCUUUUUAGCUCUAGUCUUUUUGCUAUUGUUGGAGCUGAUCAACUGGUAGUUCAGAUAUGCUAGCUAAUUCAAUAGUUAUUACACAAUAUUAUCUAGGUAUUUAGUCAUCAUCUUUCUCCGAAUUAUGACAUGCAUCUCUAGGUAAUACUGGAAUUACUCUCACCCUUCAGGUUAGUGUUUUUUUUUUCAACUUUUGCACUUUGUUAAUUCAAGUUAAAAUUAGAUGUGAAACUUUAUUGCUUUUAUUUGUUCUUGAUUAAAAAAUCAUAGAUAGCAAACCAACGUGACUGGAAAUAUAUGACAUCAAGUUGAUAGAAUUUUAGGCACCGAAAAAUAUAUAAUCCUGGCUCCACCACUGGUUUCAAUUUGCCGAAGACACCUAUAUAGCUCUGUAUUCUCUGUCUUGGAGGUGGAAACUAGUGAUUGUCGAGUCCAGUACGAAACGAACUGGGUAACCUUUAGCUCAUGUCAAAAUGGGUCAUGUUGGGUUGACCCGCAAAAGGUUUUUUGGUCCAUCUUUUAAACUUUUAUAUACAUAGUUAACGCAUUUGAUGUGAUCAUAUACAGUUUAUGUAAUUUUGUUAACUUGACUAACUUUUGGAUCUUAGAUCCUAUGAAAUUCAUUUCAUUUGUUUCUACAAUUCAAGAUUGUAUUGGUGCAUCCAUCGCAUGGCUCUAUCCAUUCAUCUCGGUAGUCCAUGAGGAUUGAGGACACAUGAUGACUCAAGAUUUUAUGCUUCUUAUUUCUUUAAU